rnacentral:rRNA from 1 species
AGUGAACGCUGGCGGUAGGCCUAAUACAUGCAAGUCGAACGACAGCACAAGAAGAUCUUGCUCUUACGGGUGGCGAGUGACGGACGGGUGAGGAAUACAUCAGAAUCUACUUUUUCGUGGGGGAUAACGUAGGGCAACUUACACUAAUACCUCAUACGACCUACGGGUUAAAUCAAGGGUUCUUCGGACCUUUCCCGUUUCUUUUAGCCGAUGUCGGAUUAGCUAGUUGGCGGGGUAAAGGCCCACCAAGGCGACGAUCCGUAGCUGGUCUGAGAGGAUGAUCAGCCACACUGGAACUGAGACACGGUCCAGACUCCUACGGGAGGCAGCAGUAGGGAAUAUUGCACAAUGGGCGAAAGCCUGAUCCAGCAAUACCGCGUGAGUGAAGAAGGUCUUCGGGUUGUAAAGCCCUUUUGUUGGGAAAGAAAAAAAGCAUGUUAAUCCCCCGCUGUCCUGACGGUACCCAAACAGUAAGCACCGGCUAACUUCGUG